GCCUGGGUGGCUCAGUCGGUUAAGCAGCUGACUUCAGCUCAGGUCAUGAUCACGCGGUUCAGGUCAUGAUCAUGCAGUUCAGAUCUUGUGGUUCGUGGGUUCGAGCCCCACAUCGGGCU
rnacentral:tRNA from 1 species